GAAAUGCGAUAAGUAGUGUGAAUUGCAGAAUUCAGUGAAUCAUCGAAUCUUUGAACGCACAUUGCGCCCCUCGGCAUUCCGUGGGGCAUGCCUGUUCGAGCGUCAUCUACACCCUCAAGCUCUGCUUGGUGUUGGGCGUCUGUCCCGCCUCCGCGCGCGGACUCGCCCCAAAGUGAUUGGCAGCCGGCGUACUGGUCCCGGAGCGCAGCACAUGUCGCGCAAACGAGUGCCUUGGUACGGCGGCGUCCAUAAGCCCCUCUCUCACGCUCUUGACCUCGGAUCAGGUAGGGAUACCCGCUGAACUUAAGC
rnacentral:misc_RNA from 1 species